CAAGAACAAAGAGCAGGGGAACAAGAACUUCAAAACCCUUGUUCUCACAAAAUCAAACAAUUGAAGGGCAAAUUCGGUCAAGAAUCUGUGACCGAAUCGAAAUUCUCGAACAUCCUUUCCUCUCAAACACUAAGUAACUCGGGAAACGCUUCGGGGAGUCAAGCCGGAGCGAACGCGCGUUUAAAGGAGCAGCUUUAAAGUUCCAGGUCAGUUGCCAACUCUUUUGGGAUGAUGAUCAAUUCAUGGCUAAGAAACCGAACACGAUGAAGAUCUUGUUUCCGCACCUUUUGUUAAUCAUAU